UGUGCGCGGAACGGCGUAGGUGCUGUGCCCCGGGAUCGCUGGGGCGCGGGCGCAGGCGGCAACCGGCGCGCCCGGGAAGCCGCGCUCUCCUCUCCCGCGCGGAGUCUGGACGGCCGUUGGAGGGAACAAAAGGGAAAGCGAAAGAGACCCUGGCUUCGCAGCCCCGCCCCCAGAUCCUCCUCGCCCCACUCUGCCCCGCCCUCCCCUGUGCGCCACCGGGAGAGCCCCCAGACCUGCCCGACGCGAGCGGGGAUUGGGGUGCAGCCUACAGCAAAUGGAGAGCGACCCUGUUUAGUGCAGGCGGGCGCAGCGCCGGUGGAGGCAGUGCGGUGCGUGCUGCGUCCAGCUCCCUCCGCCGGCCCGCAAGUCCGCGCGGAAUUGCCGGCGCCCUCCAGCGGCCCUGACUUCGGGGUCUACCCCAGCCCCACCGGCCUCCCGGGGUCCAGGUGUGCCGCAGCUGAGUUCAGAGACACAGCUCCAGAGGAGGGACGGACUCAGAACGCCCUAAUCUGCCACCAGUGAGAGCCCCGCAGAGCUGCCCUAAGAGGCCUGUCCCCCGUGGUGACAGACCGCUCCGUGACCCUACCCCGAGGAGCUUCCAAUCGGGAGGUGAGGGGCCGUUGGUGCGGAUUUGCGCCGCCGCAACCUCAGGACACGUGAGCCACAUGGAAAUCAGCUCCCCAUCCGGGGGCCCUCUCGUACCUGCUUCCUUGGUUCCCAGGACCCUGCUGCCCCGCUCUCUGUCAGGUGCUGCCGGGCCCUGCUUGAGCCCGCAUCCGAAUCAUUUGAGCCGUGAACCACAGCCCACCGCUCUCCUGGUUGGGUCUUAAAUUGCCCAGGAGUUUGGAUCUGGGCAGCCAUUCACGACUGCUGCCAGGGAGGAGGAGGGACUUCUGCCCCCCACCCCCACCCCCAAUUCUCCAGGAAUCCCUGAUCCCCUUUAGAAACCAAGAUCUGGUGCUGGGCGUGUUCACCGCGACAGUUGUGUCUUGCCGCUAGGCCUUGUCGGCAGACAGAACUAGGAGAUUUCCGUCUCUAGAUCUCACACUGCUCUAUGUGGAGUCCUUCCCUGCCUUUCCGCGGGGGGUCUGGCUGGGUCCCCUGAAGUAGCAGGCCUGGGAGUGGAGAGCGCAGGGAGCUCCCGGGCCAGAAGGCCCUAGCACACCCCACAACCCUCUCCCUCCCUGCCUUCCUUGCUGGUUGCUGAUACGAUGCCUCUGGUUGAACCCUGGGACUCUUCUGUUCCCUCAGAGCGCUCUGGCUGGCAAGCACCGGUGUUCCAGGAGCCUCCUCGCCUGGGGUCCUCGCUCCCACCUCCUCAGCCCACCCUUUGCCUCCUAUCGCAGCUCCAGCCUCCUUCCCUUCCUCGGGCAGGUCCUCUCCUUUACCUCUCGUGGGCCAGAGGCCACUCUGUGGGCUUUACCCCACUGCCCAUCUCUCAUGCACACCCUGGCAAGGACCCCCAUCCUGGCCUCCAGUCCUCAGUUUCCUGCACUAUCCACAGGCCCCUCCCCCUAGUCUGCAGGUUACCCCUGGUGGAGUCCCAUUUUACACGCCCCGCCCUCUGCUGCUCCCUUGGGCUUCCCCAUUCUGCCUGCGCUCUGCCCCUGCCCCUGCAGCAGGUGGGUUCUGCCGGCUCCAGCUCUGAGGCUCGGAACCCUGUGGAGCCUUAGGAAUCGGCCACAUCUCCCUGGGCUGCCCCUCGCUAGGAUUUGGGCUUUAGCUCUCUGUACAGCGCUAAUGCUGCUGGCACAGCCACGGCCCUUCCCUGCCAGGUCGGCUCCUCCUUGCUUCCUGCUCUUCCCCCUCCGAGUCUCAGGGGCUCCUGCUGCUCUCACCCGCAGGCCGGCGGCAGCUGGGGACCUUUGAACACCACGCUCCUCAGCAGACAGCUGCCCAGCUUUGGUCUUGGGGCUCUCUCCAAGGACCCCGGGGUGGGCCUGGAGCCCCAGGGCAAGCAGGAUUGAAGGGGUGCGGGGGGAGGAGGUGCUGGUGGGCCACCCCGGCGGAGGCAGCACCCCCAGGAGUUCUGGCCCGGGGCCCAGCGGCUAGCGUGUGUGGGAAGCUUUAAUGGCCUGGCACCGAGGAGCGGGCCAGAGCGGGCCUGGCUGGCAGCAGCCGGCAUCACCAGAUGAACAUAGGCUUGCCAUCGUCAUGCGCCAGCUGGUUGAGGCAGGAGAGCAGCAGCAGGGUGUCGGUGAGCAUGCUGGGGUGCACGGUCUCCACCAGCACGCGCUGCAGGAAGUCCACGGUGUAGGAGCCGCCCUCGGACGCGGCCAGCUCUGGCCUCUCACGCAGGAUCCCGUAGGCGUUCACCAGCUGCUCGGUGGUCUUGUGAAUAGAGCACUGGACUCCUGGCUCGGCUCAGCCAAAGUGACGCCUGAACGCUGGCAGACGUACCUGGAGCCCUGUGCUCAGCACCCCCGCUGCACGGUCACUAGAGUAAGCUCAUCUCCCUGCCUCUAGGCUCCUCCCGGCCCCUGAGCCUUCUCCCUCCUUUCACCUGCUCCUGUGCCGUCAGGCAGGCUGCAGGAGUUCAGCCACCCCAUCUGUGGGUGACAAGUGGGGCCGCUGGACGGCUCAGAGCACAGUGAGUGGGUAGCUUUAAGCCUCAGCCCCCGAGGACAUCAGAACCCAUUAUAUGCUCUCUCCUGGGCUGUGGCUGAGCUCCUGCUGUGUGCCAGACGCGGCGCGUGGAGCUACAGACAGGAGCAGAAGUCGGGCACUCUGCGCCCACCCUGCCGGGGUACUGGAUGGGGAAGAGCACUGUGGGCACACUUACACUGAGACGCAAGGCUGCGGCUGCCCCGAGGAGGUGACCUCUUGAGAGUGGAGCACAGGUGAGGCAAGUGAGGGGGGACAAGCAGGACAAGCACUCCACAGAAGCGAGGGAGCAGCGGGCACCGAAGCAAGAGGGGGAGGGCUCUGUCCUGCAGAUAAUUCGCAGCCCUCCCCUGUGCAGGGCACCAUACCAGGUGAUGGGAUUCAAGUGUGAGCAAAGCCCUCUGAGUUUAUGGUGAUGACAGCACCAAGGAGAGGGACGCUACUGCCUCCCCACGAGUGGGCGAGCUCCUGGAGCGCAGAGACCGUCUGAUAUAAACUUGGUAUGCACUGAAUGCUCCAUAAUAGGAGUGAAGAGAUGAAAGGGAAGGAUAGUAAGGUGCCAGCAGUUUAGUCCAGGGCCUAGGUGAAUGUAGACGCAGGCGUAUACAUGGGAAACAUCUUUAGAGGGAGACUCAGCAGAGGAUCUGGUGCUGGACCAGAUGUGGAGGAGAGAACAGGUGCUACCAAAUACGCACGCACCUGCAAGAAACUGAGCACAUGUGUUCACCACCCAGUCUUUCCAUUCUGGAAAGGACGCCGACCACGUGUUCAGUGCUAAGGGAACCGGCGGCGAAGGUUCAGCCCUUGUUCCCGUUAGAAAGCAACGCUCAAGAGGCGGCCGCACGUCCCUCAGAGGGCGGAGACUGGAGCGUGCAUCCUGACUCUUGGGUUAGAGAGAAAAUCCAAAGCAGUUUGUGAAAUCCUUACACCUGAGAAGCCCCCGCCCGUGGGUGGGAGGCCACCGGGCCGGGCGGGUCCACCUGCUGCACCACUGGUUAAAUAUAGAGCGAACUGCCUUGCCCCACACGUAUUCCCAAACACAGGCUGUGUAAAAUAAAAUGACUUAAGUGCUCAGCCCAAGAAGGAGGAAUAAAGCAAACCAAAAGGAAGCAGAAGGAAAGAAACAGCUGAACCAAGGAAACAGAAUCCUAAGGAUCAACAGAGGAUCAGCAAGAAAACCCCGCGAGCGCACCGAAGCCCCGCCUUCCCCUGCGGAGGGAAACUCCCGCCUGCGACCCCGCGUCCGCGACGGCAGCAAGGCCUGACGUCACCGAGACCGGGCCAAUGGGCUCGGCGUGUUCGCGAGAUAAGUAACGAAGCUGCAGAAGUCGUAAAUAACCGCAAACGGCAUCUGGAGGCGUUAAAAACACGAGGGUGGGGCGCCUGGGGGGCUCAGCUGGUUAAGCGUGGGACUUCGGCUCAGAUCAUGAUCUCACGGCUCAUGAGUUCAAGCCCCACGUUAGCUCAGAGCCUGGAUCCUGUUUUGGAUUCUGUGUCCCCCCACCCCCACCCCCGCUGCCCCUCCCACACCUGAUCGCGCGCCCUCUUUCUCCCCCUCUCUCAAAAACAAAAACACCAGGAUACAGUGCGGUUUAUGAUCGGAAUACCUUCUCAUGUGUCCUUCCGAAAUGGUAAAAGGGAGGGAGGGAAAACUCGUGUGAUCUUUUCAAUGAAAGGCAGAAAAUACAUUCAUAAAAGUAUUCAUGAUUAAGAACCCCCCCCCCCAAAGGUGUCAAUGAAUGAGGAAGAGGAAAAACUUAACCUGAUGUGGCAGGUGCUGAAGCUGCCUCAUCAGGCUUCCGUCCUAGUGUUUCUAGUGCUUUUCGGAAGCUGAAAGCCUUUUCCAGACUCGCCUGUGGCUUAGGGACCUCUGCGACCUGGGCUUCUGCCCAGCAGGGCCCAUGAGUGGAACUUGCAGGCGGAUGCGGAUGCCGGGAGACAGUGGUGCCCAGGAGGAGCAGGGGUCCCCGAGAGUGCAGUGGCUAUGACCCUGGUUCUUCAGGGGCAGCCAUACCAACUUCUGUGCCCAGUCUUGUGUCCUCACCUAAACAUGUACAAUAAACCUCUUUCUGUUUACAUCA